UAUAUAAGCGGCAUCGCAUACGCCUACCACAAGCCAUAAUUCGACCAAUCACAAUCAUCAUUGAAAAAAUUACGCGAAAAUAUAAUUCUUAUGUAUUGAGUGCUGUUUACUGCAUCUUUAUUUUUGUAUUAAUUUGUUUAGUAUAAGUAUACAAUGAUAAUAUAUUUACAAUAUCAUAUAUUUUAAUAUUUCCAAAUUUAUAAUGUAAAUUAGUCGUGUAUAUUUAUAUAUUUUUAUUACAAAAUCAUCAAAGGAAUGAAUGUCAUUUAUAAUUUCUAUAUGUAUGCUGUAUUGCUUAGCAUUUAUGAUCAACUUUUAUGAUCACCCAUUUAUUAAAAUUUAAAACACAAUGCUCUUGAGUCGCAUUUAUAAAAUUUCAAGGAUCGACUUUAAAUACGUACAUAUGGAAGUAAGACGUAAACAUUUUAUCCUUACGAAUUUUUUCAUCGUUCAUCUUACAUCUAACAUUAAAAAAUAUAGAGAUGAAUAAUUGGCUACAAUUAAUGGAUUUUCUUAUGUUUUACAUCAAUGGAAAGGCCUUACAGUUACUGUACUGUCAGAAAGUGUGUGUGAAGAUUCUAAAGGUUAAGUUAGAGACGCUACAACGUAUCAUAAGAUAAAAAUUAAAGAAAAUGAAGAUUAUGAGUCUCCAUUCUAUGAGCAUAUUUCUUUGGAAUACGGAAGAUGAGAAUCGUUUCUCUUGAACCUCAUCUGUAAUUAUCUUUAGUAACUAUUCAUAAAAAAGCAAGCACUUAAAUAGAAAAUAAUAUCACAAAUAAAGAAAAAUAUGAAGAAUAAUGGAACAUGCUAUGAUAAAUGAUUGCAUAUUAACAAAGAAACUUUCAAUCUUUUUAAAGAAACUGAUUAGAUAAACUAGAAGUACUAGAAAGGAGAAUCAUAAGGAAAAUUUUAGGUCCAUUGAAAACAAUAAAAGUAUGGAAAUUAAUAUCUAAUAAUGAAAUAUACAGGAACAUAGAAGGCAUAACAGAAACGAUAAGGAAAAGAAGACUGCAAUUUUUUGGGCAUAUUUACAGAACGGAUGAGUCCAGAUUAACAAAAAGGAUAUUCAUGUAGCUUUGGGAGAAAAAGGCAACAACUAGCUGGAUUCAAGAGGUAAAGAAAGAUCUAGAAAGAAAUAAUAUAAGUGAGGAAGAAACUAUAGACAGAGAGAUUUUUAGAAAGAGGGUAUUAAACAUAGAAGAAUUCCAAGGAAGAUUGAAGAAGAAACCUGAUGCGAAGUGGUCUGAAGACAGAAAGAAACAGCAUAGUGAAAAGAUGAAGGAAUAUUGGAGGGAACGGAAAAGAAAACAGUUAAGUGUGAAGAAUUUAAAUUGGCACGUGGUCCCUAGCAGGCCUCAUCGAAAGAAGAAGAAGAAGAAAUAUAUUUCUAAAAGUAUGUACAAUAUAUUAAUUUUUAAUUUUAAUAGAUGAUUAAUCAGACAAUCCAGCAAUAAGCAAUGAUAAUGGUAUAAAUAAGACAAAAUUAGAAAAAAGUGUAAUGCAGAAAGUUUUAUUGCAUAUUAUAAUAAUAAUAAUAAUAGUUUGAAUGAAACAAUAAAAAUUGGGCUUGGAUGGAACAUGCGAUCUUCAAACUUAUGGUACUGCACUUAACUAUUGCUAGCAUAUGCUGAUAUUUGACGAAUGAUUUGUCUCUAGCAAAACAGUAUGGUAUAAUUCAAACAACAAUUUCUUAUUAAAAACUGAGUAGUGCAUUGCAUUCAAAUAGCAUUCGUUAUUUCUAUAUCAAUAAUACAUUCUUUAUUUUCCGUUGAUUAAGUCAAAUCUGAAAUUUUAUUUGUUUUGAUUUUUGACACAAAUUUUUCCUUAUAGUGUCACGUAUUUUACUGUUUUGCUCUAUGUUGUGAGUGACUUUGUCUGUUAUUGCAUUUCCCAGUGUAGUAAUUUGUGAAUGAAAUAUUUUAUAAAGAUAUUGUACAAAUGUUGUAAUAUGUUCCAAUUAAGCUUUUGUUGAGGAUCCAUUUGGUUUUCUUAUUGCUAGUGUUAGUAUUGUUGGUCUUCUUAAUCUUACCAAACAAAAUAGCCUGUAUUCUCAUUUGGCACCAAAUUAAAACGCAUGAAAUGAAUACAAAAAGGACAAUAAAUUUUAUAAUAAUAGUCAUUGAUAAUUACUAAUAGUCUACAAUAAUUACUAAUUAUCAAAUACUUGAUACAUUAUCAUUUAAGCUUAAUCUGCAAAUAUAGAACCACUUUACCACUUUUGACGUAUAGUUAAAUCCUUUGGAAAACUGAAAUUAAUUAUAUAUUGCUAUUAUUCAUUAGAAGAAAUUUAUUAAAUAAUAUAAAUAUUUCUUAUACACCUAUCUAUAGAAUGAAAUAAUUUCUAUUUUUGAUAUUUUUCAAUCAUGCAUAAUUUAGGCAUUUUCAUACAAAAAAAUCUAUAAUAUAUUUUAAUAAUAUAAUACAAAAAUUAUCUUAAAUAUUUAAGAAUAUAUUAAAUUAAUAAGUUUCUUAUUACUUUAAUCAAUGUUUUAGUCAGUUUUAGGACAAAAGUUAGCUUAUUUUCUUUUAUUGAAAAAAUUGUCACGUAUGCGUAUAACCAAUAAAUGAUAUAUUUCCGGUAUUUUUUGACCACAAAUAAUAGUAUAUGUCUCAUAUAUGAGUAUAUAUGAUAUAUAAUAAUAAUGUUAUGCCCACAGGUUCUUCUCGACCUCCAAUGUAUAUAUUUGACAUAAUAAUCUUUUACAUGCAAGUACUUAUUAUAGAAUCAAAAAAAAAAUUUUUUUUACCUCAGAUGGCAUUUGUAACUACAAUUAUCGAUAAAGUUUGAAAGUUGCGUCUCUCAAAUGUAGUGUUCAAUAGAUAUUUCCAUUUUUAUAUAAAAUAUAGAGAAUAAUUAAUUUAUUUUAAGUAUCUCUAUCAUUAUAUAUGUAAUGCAUAUUCACGAAUAGAUUGUAAACUUAUUUGUAAUUAACAAACCCUUCAACACAAAAUAUACAUUUCAUGAUUGUUAGUUUUAUAAUAAUUAGUUAUGGCAAAUAGAAUAGAGCACAGCGUAUUUUCCUUUUCAAUGACAAACUGUGCAUAUACACGAAAAUACAUGUAUUAAGAUAAUUA